UUUUCUCGAGCGGAACUUGAGGAGCCGGCCGCCGCUGGUGAGAUCGAAGCUCCACCUCCACCGCCUCGCCAUGGACGCGGCGCUGGCGUACAAAUCUGACAAGCCAACGUUUAUAGUCAAGAUACAAGGCGACGAGACGGUUCUGGUAAGAGACAACGUUUACCUCGCAAGAUGACUGGAUGACUUUUUUUUUCCAGAGUGUGAGGAGGGAGUUUGCCGAAAGAUAUCUUCCUCGCAAGCCCGCCACGACCAGCGUGGUGGACGGGGA
rnacentral:lncRNA from 1 species